AGCAAGGUCUCACUGUGUGGUUAUUUUUAUAGUGGAAAUUCCUUUCAAAUUGUAUGGACAACCUGACUGGCUCAGUUUUCAGAUCUCACCUGAACAAGGCAAGCUCUCAAUUACACCGGGAAGAUAUUUUAUGGAUAUAAACACUAACUGGAUUGACCUGGUCAAAGUAAAGUCAAUACAACAUUGGUCAUGGAAAUAUUGUCAAAACAAUAGAAAUGUGUCGGCAAGGAAAUUAAUCUGGAAAUAAUAAAUAGUUCUGCCAACCAGGCCAGCCUGGCUUCCAUAUUGAUAGACCCUAUGGCUAUAAUCUAUUCUUGCUUAUUGCAGAAUGCUCCCACAAUGAGUUCAUGCCACUGUUGUUAGUGAACCUCCAAGAAACAUGUAUUAAUUGUUUCAAAAUUAAUUAAAGACAAAAAUUUGCUUGAUUUUGUAUAUUAUUUAUUUUAAUUCAACUUGCAUGGUUAAAGAAUAAUUAUCCAAUUGGGACGUUCCAGAAAAGAUCCACACUCCCCCCACGGAGGAAAUUUCUACCGUCCGGAGGGGGAGGGGAGAAAAAAUUGUUUCUGAUAAUAGUAAAUGUACGUAAUUUCCUCUGUGGGGGUGGUAUGGAUGUUUUCUGGAAUGACCCAUUAGCAGUAAAUAAUAUUAAAACCUAACUGUACAAUCAAGUUACAUGUAAUACUUAACAGUAUUAUUAAAAAAUUAAAACUAGAGCUCAUGGGUUAUUCUUUGGCUGUUUGUAGUACAUAUACAUAUAAAUAACACAUUCCCACAAAAUUAUAGAGAAAAG